AGAGUUUGAUCAUGGCUCAGGAUGAACGCUGGCGGCGUGCCUAACACAUGCAAGUCGAACGGGAAUCCUCGGAUUCUAGUGGCGGACGGGUGAGUAACGCGUGAGAAUCUAACUUCAGGACGGGGACAACAGUUGGAAACGACUGCUAAUACCCGAUAUGCCGCGAGGUGAAACCUAAUUGGCCUGAAGAAGAGCUUGCGUCUGAUUAGCUAGUUGGUGGGGUAAGAGCCUACCAAGGCGACGAUCAGUAGCUGGUCUGAGAGGAUGAGCAGCCACACUGGGACUGAGACACGGCCCAGACUCCUACGGGAGGCAGCAGUGGGGAAUUUUCCGCAAUGGGCGAAAGCCUGACGGAGCAACGCCGCGUGAGGGAGGAAGGUCUUUGGAUUGUAAACCUCUUUUCUCAAGGAAGAAGUUCUGACGGUACUUGAGGAAUCAGCCUCGGCUAACUCCGUGCCAGCAGCCGCGGUAAUACGGGGGAGGCAAGCGUUAUCCGGAAUUAUUGGGCGUAAAGCGUCCGCAGGUGGUCAGCCAAGUCUGCCGUCAAAUCAGGUUGCUUAACGACCUAAAGGCGGUGGAAACUGGCAGACUAGAGAGCAGUAGGGGUAGCAGGAAUUCCCAGUGUAGCGGUGAAAUGCGUAGAGAUUGGGAAGAACAUCGGUGGCGAAAGCGUGCUACUGGGCUGUAUCUGACACUCAGGGACGAAAGCUAGGGGAGCGAAAGGGAUUAGAUACCCCUGUAGUCCUAGCCGUAAACGAUGGAUACUAGGCGUGGCUUGUAUCGACCCGAGCCGUGCCGAAGCUAACGCGUUAAGUAUCCCGCCUGGGGAGUACGCACGCAAGUGUGAAACUCAAAGGAAUUGACGGGGCCCGCACAAGCGGUGGAGUAUGUGGUUUAAUUCGAUGCAACGCGAGACUUACCAGACUUGACAUGUCGCGAACCUGUGAAGCUGGGGUGCUUCGGAGCGCGACACAGUGGUGCAUGCUGUCGUCAGCUCGUGUCGUGAGAUGUUGGGUAGUCCCGCAACGAGGCGCAACCCUCGGUCUUUA
rnacentral:rRNA from 1 species